rnacentral:snRNA from 3 species
CUGCUCACUUCGGCAGCACAUCUCCUAAAACUGGAAUGGCAACAGAGAUUAGCAUGACCCCCGUAUGAAGAUGGCACACAAAUCUGUGAAGUGUUCUGUAUUUUU